rnacentral:piRNA from 1 species
ACUGACACGCUGUCCUUUCC